CUCGCGAUAGUGCGGGUCUCGUCCUGAAUCUUGGUCACCUGGUUCGGACACCUGGAUGUCGCCUCCCGGGCUGGGAUGUGGGAGGUGGGAGAACAGAGGCAUCCGAGCUGAAAUGGCACAGCCACGUGUGGUCUGUGAACCUAGAGGCGGUGUGACUGGGACGCAGUAAAUGGGUCUUUCUGCUUCUGCUUCCCUGUAUAUGUUGUUGUUUUGUGUUGCGUGCAUGAACUGAUCAUGAAGGCCGUCUUAAACAGAAUGACGUGGGCUCCUCACCAAGAACAUUCUUAGGAGCAUGAUGACAUUAUAUAUGACUCCCUCUGUUCUGCUACUGAAAGGCACAUUUGUUUAUUAAAAUACUAGUGCAGGACUUUAAAGUAAUACCACAAUGAGAUAGAGCUGUAUGCUUACCAAAACAGCAAAUGUUAAGAAGUCCGACACAGCCUUCCAGGAAUGGGGAGAACACGGGACAGCUGGAGCUCGCACACUCUGGCAGUGGGAGUGUUAGCGUGACCACGUGAAGACCUGUUUGUCACCACCUCCCCAAAGCUGCACCUGUGCACUCCCUGUGACUCAGCCACUUUCUACCCAGGUCUGUGCGGAAGAGAAAUGAGGGUAUGUACACCGAGGGGUACAUAGAGGGCUGUUCACAGCAACCUCUUUGGGUGACAGCCUCAUGCCAGAAACAACUGCAAAUCCACUGGUGUUGAAGUUGUAAAUCAAUUGCGACAUCUUCAUACAGGACACUACACACAAAACUACUAAAUAUGAAAAAUGCUAUACAUAAAAAUACUACAGGGAAACUGGCAAACUACAGCUUUUCUGAACACAACUGAAUUGCACAAACAUAAUAUUGAACAAAAAGAGCCAGACACAAGAGAACAUAAUGCAUGAUUUUAUUACUAUAAAUACACACACACGAAGAAAUGCAAGCAAAACUGAAUGGCUGUGUUAGAAUCAGGACAGGGGUUAUCAAUGGGAAAGAGGAUAGUGACUAGGAGGGGGACUCAGAGGUGCUGGGAGGGGUCCAUUCCCCGACCUGUGUGGUUACACGUGUGCCUGCUUUGUGACAAUUCACUGAAAGUUUAUGCGCUUUUCUACGUAUUUUAUAUGUUUUAACUAAAAAUAUUAUUAAAGACAGGAAAACUAUGAUGCAUUGUGCUUGGAUAUAGCAACAGUGGCUCUCUAACUACUGUAAUAACCUAACUAAUAACUCCAUUUAGAAGCUGAAGCUCAUUAUUACAUCACUGACGUCCAUCCCACGACUCAUAAUCACCACCACCUGCUACAAGAUAAUUAGGCUGUCCUUCUACUGCUCUCUGAAUUAAAAAAUUCCAGGGGCCACGUUGUGGCACAACAGGUUAAAGCCCUGGCCUGUAGUGCCAGCAUCCCAUAUGGAUAUCGGUUCGAGUCCCGGCUGUUACACUUCCAAUUCAGCUCCCCGACGAUGUGCCUGGGAAAGCAGUGGAGGAUGGCCCAAGUGCUCCGGCUGCUGCAUCCACGUGGGAGACCGGGAAGAAGCUCCUGGCUUUGGAUUGGCUCUGCUCCGGCUGUUGGCCAUCAAGGGAGUGAAGCACCGGGUGGAAGACCUCUCUCUCUCUCUUUACCUGUUUCUGUAACUCUUUCAAAUAAAUAAAAUCUUUAAAAAAAAUCCAAACAGCAGUGACUACAGCUUGCCUGAAAUGGAAACUCAGAGAGUAUCAUGCUUCCAAAGACUCCAUGAAGCCAGAGCCGACAUGUGCUCUUGGGACUUUUGAAUUCCUUUACCUGGUUCCUGGCCACCCUGAGGGGCUUCACAGGUGCCGGUGGCCUCGGGAGCCAGCUCCUCAGAGCCCGCCUGUGUCCUCAGCAGGUGCCCCGCACCCUGCCUCCUGGACCGGUGCGCACCAUUCAGCCCAGAACUUGGGGGAGGGAGAGAACCACUGGGAUCGUUUCUGAGCCAGCCACGGGAUUCGGGUGCUACAGCGACCCGCUAAGUGGGGAAGGGCAUCCUUUGUGCGCUCGAUUUAGCUUUAGAGAAAUACAAAAUGUGACGUUUGUUGACGGGAGACAGAGGAGAGUCAGAGUUACACAUAGAGAGGAGAGGCAGAGAGAGAGAGAGAGAGAGAGAGAGAGAGAGAGGUAUCUUCCACUCACUGGUUCACUCCCUAAAUGGUCACAACGGUUGGGACUGGGCCAGUCUGAAGCCAGCAGCCAGGAACUUCUUCCAGGUCUCCCCCGUGGGUGCAGGGACCCAAGCACCUGGGCCAUCUUCUACUGCUUUCCCAGGCCAUAGUGGGAUGUGGGAUGGGAAGUGGAGCAGCCGGGUCUCGAACCGGCGCCCAUAUGGGAUGCUGGCAUUGCAGGUGGCGGCUUUACCUGCUACGCCACAGCGCCGGCCCCUGCUUCAUGAUUAUCUCAACGUCAACUCUUGAGCAAAGCUCACUCCUCCCAGCCACUUGCCCUGGACCCUCUUCCUUGAGCAUGUGCUGUUGUGAAGAACACACUGACAUUGCUUGCCUUCUAGUUAGAAACCGGGACACAUCCUUCUCCCUUAUCUUAGUCAAUCACACAUUCGGCUGACUACCUCCAAAACCAGUCUUUCAACUGUCUGCCUCUCUCUCUUUCCACUGCCACGCUCCUGAAUCCAGGCUCCCUGGGGAGCCUGGGGACUGUCUCACUGCAGAUUUCUGGCUGGCCUCACGUGGAGCAUUUUGCUGCCCUUCAAUCGUCUUUCCCCACACUGCAGCUAACUGGAGUCAUCUGUUCUUUCAGUUAAUCAAAAUGUAUUAUCAAAUACAAACCUACUCAUGUUCUAGCCUGGCUUAACAACCCUUCAACGGCAUUUCAAUUGCACUUCAAAAUGAGCCAAUUGUUCCAAAGGCUUGGGAAAUCAUAACCACUCAUAAAAUACACCUGUGAUUUUAAAGGUGUUUGCAGUUAUAUAAAUUCUAAUGUAACGUUUCCUCCCAGGUUAUCUGACGCUUCACUCAUAAACUGGCUCAUGAGAAGUAGCAAAGACACAUAAACAAACCAGUGAGCACUACAUCCAAAAUCCAUGAGGGCAGGCAGUGGGACUUGUUUUCUUUUUUUUUUUUUUUU